UGUGAUUUAUUACCCUGUUUUCUCCCAGCCUAUUAUAUUUCCCUGAGCCUUCCCCCAAGGCCUGCUUGGGACUAGAUUAGCCCACAUGAUUAUUUCAAAGCACAGCACGUUGAAAGCAGUUCCCAGGAACUCUGUGUUUCUCAAAAGGGAGCUGAAAGGUCACAGAGAGCUGGGAAGGGGUCACAGCAACUGAAGCUGCUGCAUUUGACUGGUUUCAACAGUGACCUCCAGGUCUCCAUAAACGGCCCUGCUACCUUCUGGCUCCGGUUUACUACAUUCGCUUUCUCCUUCUGCCCAGGAUUCAUGCACCAGCCAGACGCAAUGACUUGCAACUCUCCAAAGGGGCCUUUGCACCAGCCCUACCAGCCUGGAUUAUUCCCACUAUCCUGACUCCAUAAUUCUCCUCUGUGGGAAGCCUGCUCUAAUCCCUGGCCAAAUCAGGAGUGAUUCUGUACAUGUCUACCUCACUUCAUAUGUGGCAAGGACAGCCUAGUGAUAACUGCAUCCUGAAGCUAUCUAGGGGACCACUUUGAAUUAAUUCACUAGCAGAACAAAGACAGUCCUAUCACUGAGGAAAUCCCAAGGGUUUGAAGUUCUGUGGCAGGACCUGGGAACAAAGACCAGAUAUGUGACUCUCUCUACCUGAGGGCAGCCUACAUCCAGUAAUCGACACAGAUGCUCCCAAGUGCCAGCUUCCUUCUAGACACUUCCCUCUCAUCAAAGCUGAACAGUGCUGUGCCUAUCCUGCCCAUCGCCUCAGGAAUUGUAGGUGGACAACAAAAUUCAAGUCAAAUCAGAGUAUCUGAAAGAUAAAAAUAGAGCUCAAUGUGGGAUGUGAGCAUCUGAGCAAGGCAUUGCUCUUGCCAUCCCAAAGGCAUGUGUCUUUGAUGGUACAAUUUCAGGUAUAGGACAGCUGAGCCUAGCACAAUGGUUCUCAGAGUAAGGUCCCCAGAUCAACAAUGUCAAAAUCACUCAGAAACCUCCAGGAAAUGCAAAUUAUCAAGUCCCCCCAAAGCCUUCAGAUCUACUGAAUCAGAGAUUGGUGGUGGGCCCAGCAUUGUAUGCCUUGACAAGCUCUCCACGGAUUCUCAUGCACACUUGACAUUGAGAACCACUGGCCUAGCAGAUAGAUUUUACUAGGGACUCUUUGUCUAGAAAAUUCCUGCCAUGAAUUGUUUCAUUGUUAGACCAGGGCUUCUCAGCCUUGGCACUGUGGACAUUUUGCCACUGGACGAUUUGCUGUGCAUUCUGUCCUGUGCAUUGUGGCAUGUUUAGCAGCAUACCUGACCUGCACCCACUAGAUGCCAGUAGUGUCCCUCCCCUAUCACCCCCUCCACCAGGAGUGACCAACAAAAUUACCUGCAGACUGCCCAAAUCUCCCCUGGUUGAAACACACUCCUUUGGACAACAUGGAAGACCAGAACAGCUAUAUGUGAUGAAGCUGAGCCUUCCAACGUCAAAAACUAGAUGGCAGUUUCCCAUCUUCAGCAGCUUUAUGCUACAGUAUCUGCUGCAUUUGGGCUCCCUGGGAAUAGACUUUGAGGUUGGCAUACAGGAGGUUUAUGGGGGAGUAUGCCCAAGAACAACUCCGGGGAGGAGUGAGGGAGAAGCUGAGCUGUGAAGCACUUGAAACAGAGGCCCCACCAGAAACUAUGGAGUCCCACGACCUUGUGGCAUUGUCCCAAUUGGGGUAAAGGAACAGGUCUCUCCCAUUGAACAGCCAUUGUAGGUUACCCUUUCAAGCAUAACUGUAGAUGAGGCAGCUUCCUGCAGGGAGGAAACAAUCCCCAGAGGACAGAGUCAUGAGCUGCCAGCAGCCAGCCCUCCAGGCAGCCGGGAACAAGCACAGGUCCUGGGUGCCCAACCACUGCUUCUGCUACUACAUCUGAUUGUCACAGGACUGGGACUUCGGUAUCAGCAGAAAAUCUGUGAUUCCGGUACAGGAUGCUAAGUGCCAUGACAGAGGGUUAAUCCCAAAAGAUAGUUAUCUAUACACCUGAAUUAGAAACAUUGACUGAGUCAAAAUACCUGUUAUCCUUUCUAAAACCUAUUGUGCACAGACCCAGUGCUCCCUGCUGUAUGUUCUCUAUUCCACCAGAGCGCCCUUUGUUCGCAUAAAUACGUCAUCUGUGUAAGUUGUCCUCCCUGGAUCUCCAAACAGGAGCCAGUGUGAAUCAGGCGCAACGACUGAUUUCCUGGCUCUGUUACGACUCUCCUCAUGAGGAGCUAAUUACAGAUGAUGAGAAGUUUCAGGAUGUGUGGUCUUGCCUUCUUUGAUUUCUGUUACAAAUGACAAAACAGCAGUAAUUAGUACUUGUCUCUGGCCAGCUCUGCUGUCCCAGCCACGGGGAAUGAGGCCUUCAGCCUGCAACCUCAGCACUGCCUGCCUCGGGCCAAUCAGAACAGACUCCUCAGUGUUCUAGACAUCCCAUCCUCUUCUGGAAGAAGCCUCCUCAUCAAGUCAUCACUUGGCAUUUAUUGAGCUGCUAUGAGGACUCACCUAAAAGUCUGUUCAGCAUGUGACCCCCAUGCCCUGCCAAGUGAUGUGAGCCCAGUCUAUCACCAAGCAGACCUGUCUACAACACUAGUGAGCCCAGUGUAUGCUGAAUGUCCUGUGAAAACUUAGAUUCUUUAAUACCACUUAUUUCCUGGACUUAUAAUCCUGACAAGGGUGUCAUCAGUAGAAAUACUAGAAAGAAAAUUUUGUAUUGCUUUCAAAUGUGAAAUCUGACUCUCACUAAUCACCUAGGUUACAAAAUAUAAAUUAAA